rnacentral:misc_RNA from 1 species
UGGGCGCACUUUUUCACUUUUUUGGCGCCACUUUCGGCUGUGCAAAAUGCUUUUGUUUGUAUUAUUUAUUUCUUUGGAAUUUACGCAAAAAUUAUUAAUUUUGUACUAAAAUGGAUGACCUCACUAGACUAAAAAGGAAGAUUACCAGCUCGUUCAAGCUAAGCGGCUUUCUUAUACGUUCGGAGAAUAGCGCAUAUUUGGCCGAGCAGCUCCUGCCAUUUGAUGAGGCUGAACGGGAGAAGUGGCUGACGGUGAUCACAGAAAAUUUGCAAGGCCAGCGUUUGCAAACGACACAAGUGGAAAGAGGAGUACUUGAAAAAGCUAUAAAUGAAAUUAAUCGCGUGGGCCUGGAUGAGGGCGAGACAGUCUUUACGCUUAUUGAUGCAUUCAAAGUGCCACGCUACCAUUACAAUACCCAAAGCAAGAAAUUCGAAUUGAAUCGAGAUCCGCGUUGCAUUCUCACACAACCAGCGAUGAAAUCAGGAUAUUUGCGUGAACGUUAUGCCAUGCUGUUGCAAAAGACUCUGCGGCAUGAGUUAUUUGCACCACCUAUAAUAGAGGGUGGCGUUUCAACGGAAUCGCAGGUAAAAAAGUUUAAAUUGCAGUAUGCAGAAAAUUUGCUUGCGUCAUCCUCGGUAAAGGAAGCAGUGGUACUCGGGUUGCUGACACAGUUAAAAGAAGGAAAAUUUUACAUAGAAGAUCCUACAGGUUGCCUUGAGCUGGACUUGUGCGGAACGCGCUUUCAUUCAGGUUUCUUCUGUGAGGGCUGCUUUGUGUUGGCUGAAGGUUCAUAUAACAAUGGCGUUCUCAAAGUUGAUGGCCUGGGUUUUCCGCCAGCUGAACCCGCUACUAGUUCACGAGCAUUUUUUGGAACACAAAACAGUUGGGGUGGCGAGUCUUCAAAAUUGUUGAAAUAUUCCAUAAGGCUGGAAGAAUUGGAGAGUACCAACACUGAAGCUACGCUUGUGUUUCUGUCGGAUGUGCGUCUAGAUAAUCCUGUUGUUUUAGAACGCUUACGCAUGCUAUUUGUUGGCUACGAUUCCUGUCCACCUGUAGCAAUAGUGCUAAUGGGUUCGUUCGCUGCUACCAAUAGUAAUUAUCAUACAUUGUCGCAAAAUUUGACUGCUCUGGGCGCAUUAGCUGCGGGAUGUGAUCAGUUGAAGAAGCAAACGGAUCUGAUAUUAGUACCGUCUUGUGAAGAUCCUACAGCACCGAAUAUUUUACCACGUGCCACCCUACCUGAAUCACUUGCGACGGGUUUGCGCAAAGCAUGGCCGCGUACAUUGCUCGCGACCAACCCUUGUCGUCUGCAAUAUUGUACACAACAGAUUGUUGUUUGUCGUUUGGACUUGAUGGCUAAGUUCUGUCGUAAUACGUUACAUUUUCCACCCGAUACUGAUAAUAUCGAACAACAUUUUGCACGCACACUAGUAUGCCAGAACCAUGUGACUCCCAUACAUCCGAUUGCCAUGCCAGUGCAUUGGGACUAUGAUGCCGCUUUGUGGUUAUAUCCGCUGCCCGAUUUGGUAGUUAUAGGUGACUCGUGCCAGAGUUUCGCAACAACUCAACACGGUUGUACUGUGCUAAACACAGGAUCUUUUGUUAAAUCGAAAUUUGCAUUUAAAGUUUAUAUACCGGCGACGCGCACUAUUGAGGAUUCGGAAAUUCCAGAUGAUAUGACAAUGGAAUAAGCAAAUUCUUAUUUUAUGUUGUGAUAAGCAAAAUUGUACUCUUUAUGUUACAUUGAGCAGUAGGUCCCAGCAACAUAAAAAAAGGUUUUUCAAAUAGCGGCCCUCCCCUUCAGACAAUGGCAAAUGUCCGAGUGUACAUAUUUCUGUCAUACAAAAGAUUCCUUGGAGGUGGAGUAAAAGUGAAAAUAUCUCCAUUUUGUGUCACAACAUCAAGAAACAGAGCACGAAUUGAAGGAGAAGCUCGGCUAAACACUUAGAACUCGUUUAAGCGGAAAACAUACAUUAAUUGGAAUCAUAUAUUAUAUAAUGUUCAUCCCCACAUAACCUAGGAUAUAAUUUUAAAACU